GAUGAACGCUGGCGGCGUGCCUAAUACAUGCAAGUCGAGCGAACAGAUGAGGAGCUUGCUCCUCUGACGUUAGCGGCGGACGGGUGAGUAACACGUGGAUAACCUACCUAUAAGACUGGGAUAACUUCGGGAAACCGGAGCUAAUACCGGAUAAUAUAUUGAACCGCAUGGUUCAAUAGUGAAAGACGGUUUUGCUGUCACUUAUAGAUGGAUCCGCGCCGCAUUAGCUAGUUGGUAAGGUAACGGCUUACCAAGGCAACGAUGCGUAGCCGACCUGAGAGGGUGAUCGGCCACACUGGAACUGAGACAUGGUCCAGACUCCUACGGGAGGCAGCAGUAGGGAAUCUUCCGCAAAGGGCGAAAGCCUGACGGAGCAACGCCGCGUGAGUGAUGAAGGUCUUCGGAUCGUAAAACUCUGUUAUUAGGGAAGAACAAAUGUGUAAGUAACUAUGCACGUCUUGACGGUACCUAAUCAGAAAGCCACGGCUAACUACGUG
rnacentral:rRNA from 1 species